AUGCUCCAUUCGUUUUGCAUAUGCUUUGUACACGGGCUUUGUUGCCGAGUGUUGUUUUGUGGCUACCACCGAGACAUGGACAGACACCGUUGCUUCUUUGGCCAUCCUUUGGCCUCCUGUAUGAUUCGUAUCGAUAUUAAUACAGAUGAUGUAUUCUUUGUUCAGUUGAUGCCUCCCCAUGAUCCUCCAGUGAGACAAAUUUGUGUGUUUGUUCUACUCCAUCCGAUCCGAAAUAUAAGAUGUUCUAACUUCCUUAUGAAUCAGAUGUAUAUAGACGCAUUUGUGUGUCUGUGCACUCAUUUUAGUUCGCAUGUAGUCCAUAUUGACAUAUCCAAAAACGUCUUGUGA
rnacentral:rRNA from 1 species